rnacentral:lncRNA from 1 species
UCGCCAACGUGGUGGUGGGGCUUUCCGAUUACCCGGAUCAAGGCGCCCUUUCUGCCUCGGGAGCAGCCCCCUGUGCGGCGGCGUCCCAGCCCGGAGCGAGUCUGCCAACGCCAGCCUGGGCGCUGCAGCUGCUGCUCCUGGGUCUGUUAUGAUGGUGGUGGCGGCGGCGGCGGCGGCGGCGGCUCCUGCUGCCUCUUCCGAGCGCAUCCGGAUUCCAGGCGAAGCGUCGCGAAUGCGAUCGCCGCGCAACUUUCACCAAGUGACCACCGCUGAGGCUGUGGCGAGGCGGCGCCUGGUGUGCCGAGGCUGCAGGGGAGAAAAGAAAGGAAGAAAAGAAAAGAGAAAAGAAGCCCUCCAUGUGGCCACUUGCAUCUCAGAGCUGUUCCAGGAAUUAAGCAACAAAGCAGGAAUAAGAAGUCAGAAGCCUGAAAGCAUCGUUAUUUGGUGACUGUUUCUUAAAGGAACAAGGUGCACACACAAGACUUCAGAGGAUAUAGGGGAAAGAACUGGGGAAAAGCAUACUUUUGCAAUCUGGUGAUUUUCCUCUUACUUUGAAAUAUGCCAGUGAAUUGGAAGAUAUGAAUGUGUCCUGCCUGCUUUUCUAAGAUGGCCAGAUAAAAAAAACAUCCAGUUUUGCCACCCGCAAGUUGACUUUGACCCCCUCUGAUCUGCUUUUGUGCCCCCGGUGGUUAAAACAAAAACUACACUUCUAGUGUGAUCUUUCAGGGCAACUUCAUCUACAAUCCUUGGAGCAAGUGGUAAGCUUAACUCCGUGCCAAGAUAGGUAUCACCUACAGAUUUCUGCAGACCAAACUGCUUUUAAAAAGACAGUGGCUCUACCUCCCAUCCAGAUCAGGUAUAACCACCACAAGCAGGAAAAGUUGGCAGGAGUGGCUCAUUGCAGAAUCAAGACUUGAGGUCAAAGGGUUACUUACAACCUGGACAUACUAGUCUUUGAAUAUUUACAGAUGUGAUCAGCAUGAGGUCUUCCCCCUUACCUCCUUCUUGGACAUUUAACAGCUGCACGAGAAGUCCAAAUAGAAUAACAAAAGAGCCACGCACAAAGAAUGUUGACCCCAGAGGGUCUUCAUGGCUGGAAGGAGGUGGCUCAUCAUUUCCUAAGUGGGCCACACAAGUUGUGCCGAUGAACCGAAUUGACAACCCACCCUUCCUAUCUAUUGAAAUCAGUAAGACUGUGCCACGGCCCCACUGAAGCAAUGAGGGGACAGCAGGUAAUUGUUAGACUGGGAUCAGCAUAAGUAGUUCAGGGAGGACGUUUGCCCCAGAAAACCUGUAAAAGAAAUUGGCAAUGCUAGGAAACUAUCAAAGUCAAGAUCAGAUUUUCACUUCCUUUUGGUGACUACCAAGCCAUUCCCCUCACCUUGUUCCCCUCCCCCCCCCGGUGCCAUAAACAACCACUUGAUCCACAAGGAACAACAGUUCUCCCUAAAAGGGCCACUUGGGGAAUCUGAGGAGAACUUGGGAAAUAUUGCUUUUUGAAAUGGAAACAUCCAUGUUCUUUGGUUCUGACUGAUCUCCUCUCAUGGAGGAGGGGACUGGCCUAAAAUAAACAGGCACCAACACUAGAGAACA